rnacentral:rRNA from 1 species
GCCAAUACACAUGCUACCCUGAACGAGCCCCAUCCUGUCUAAUCUCAGAAGCUAAAUAGGGUGGGGCCUGGUUAGUACUUGGAUGGGAGACCACCUAGGAAGACCAGGUGCUGUAGGCG